AGUCGAACGGCAGCGCGGGGCAACCUGGCGGCGAGUGGCGAACGGGUGAGUAAUAUAUCGGAACGUACCCUGGAGUGGGGGAUAACGUAGCGAAAGUUACGCUAAUACCGCAUACGAUCUAAGGAUGAAAGUGGGGGAUUCGCAAGAACCUCAUGCUCCUGGAGCGGCCGAUAUCUGAUUAGCUAGUUGGUAGGGUAAAAGCCUACCAAGGCUUCGAUCAGUAGCUGGUCUGAGAGGACGACCAGCCACACUGGAACUGAGACACGGUCCAGACUCCUACGGGAGGCAGCAGUGGGGAAUUUUGGACAAUGGGCGCAAGCCUGAUCCAGCAAUGCCGCGUGAGUGAAGAAGGCCUUCGGGUUGUAAAGCUCUUUUGUCAGGGAAGAAACGGUGAGGGCUAAUAUCCCUUGCUAAUGACGGUACCUGAAGAAUAAGCACCGGCUAACUACGUGCCAGCAGCCGCGGUAAUACGUAGGGUGCAAGCGUUAAUCGGAAUUACUGGGCGUAAAGCGUGCGCAGGCGGUUUUGUAAGUUUGUCGUGAAAGCCCCGGGCUCAACCUGGGAAUUGCGAUGAAGACUGCAAGGCUUGAAUCUGGCAGAGGGGGGUAGAAUUCCACGUGUAGCAGUGAAAUGCGUAGAGAUGUGGAGGAACACCGAUGGCGAAGGCAGCCCCCUGGGUCAAGAUUGACGCUCAUGCACGAAAGCGUGGGGAGCAAACAGGAUUAGAUACCCUGGUAGUCCACGCCCUAAACGAUGUCUACUAGUUGUCGGGUUUUAAUUAACUUGGUAACGCAGCUAACGCGUAAAGUAGACCGCCUGGGGAGUACGGUCGCAAGAUUAAAACUCAAAGGAAUUGAC
rnacentral:rRNA from 1 species